AUGCCCUACAGAGGAGUUUGCGAGAUCCAUCAAAACGCCACCUUGAGACAUGUUUACAACCAAACUGGAGGUAUGCCUGGAACUAAAAUAAGACGACUUUACUACGAACAUUUUCAUGAACACCCAACUAAGGUUCAUGAAUAUAAAGAGCCUGUCUUCGGGAAGGGAGCAGAUGAAGCUGGGUGUUUGGCAACUCAAUACAUAUCAGAUGUCUAAGAUGAGUUCCUCACAUUAUAAACAAAAGGGAGGAGACUAAGGUUUUGAACUGCGCCUCUGAAAAGCUCAUCUGAGAGUCUUACAGUCAUCAGAAUUCAUUCAAGAGGAAAGCAAGCAUGGCAAAACUAUAACUCAGUAAAGCACUGCGCUUUAAAAUAUGACUUAUUUCAGAACUGCAGAUUGUAUACAUGUUCUUUUCAUCCCAACUUCUGUGAACCUAACGCUUACAUAAGGACAAUGGAAACCAAGUAAAACUUACUUCAAGGGGCUGGAGAUUUAGCUCAGCGGCACAGCGCCUACCUGGCAAGCACAAGGUCGUGAGUUUGAUUCCCGGUACCAGAAAAAAAUUAAAAAAAUAAAACUUACUUCAUGCCUAUCAUUUUCCAAACAAUGUAUGCAAGUAAAACAUGGUGUCGUGGUAGAUGAGAGAAGAGCACUAAGAGCUAUAGGCUUCAAACUGUGUAUCAUGGUACCACCAUGUACCACUACUAAUAAAGAACUUAUAGGAGCACUAUAGAAUAUUUUCACUUUACAAAAAAGAAAAAAAUAUAUAUAUAUACAACAAGUGUUGAUCAGAUGGUGAACUACAACACAAAUUAGUUCAGAGUGCCAGGACUACCUUAUACUACACUCAUAUCUAUGACAUCACUAUCUUUGCAAAACUGGAUCUUCAGUAGUUAUUAGGUAAAAAGCAAUCACACUAGGGGCUGGGGAUUUAGCUCAGUGGCAAAAGCGCCUGCCUGGCAAGCGCAAGGUCGUGAGUUCGGUUCCCGGUACCGGAGAAAAACCAAAAAAAAAAAAAACCAAACAAAAAAGCAAUCACACUAAAAUGAACGUGGAAUGAGAAAUGAGGAUAGCAAUGUCCAAUCUGUUUGCAGUAUUGGAAAAGUACACAGUGCCCAGGAGGCAAACACAUCUCAUUAGUAAUAGUGAUUAUUUUAGAAUGAAGUUAAAAUAGUGGUGUUCGCUUUCACUUUUAUCUAUUUUAAAGAGCUGCAAAGUUAUUAGUAUAUAAAUAUUUGUUUGAUUUCAACUAUGUAAUGAAGUGAAGUAUUAGGUAUUUCUUUAGAACCAGAGUGACAGUGAAAAAAUACUGACAUACUAACAGACAUUAUGAAUCAAGAAAAUCUGACAACUUCUGGCAUCAAGCCUUACAACCUGAUUACGUCUCAUUACACAAAACUAACCUAAAUAAAAGCACUGGAUAAAUAAAGGAAAAAAAUAACAAAAGUGACUGAAAAUGUACUUUUCCAAUUAGUUCCUGAAGAAUCUAGAACCACAGAAACAGAAAGACUCUGGACUUACUGUGAGCAAAAUCAGUAGUCCCCAUGUCAAUACCAAGUAAGUCAGCAACUUAAAUUGAGUUUGCCCUCUUAAAAGGAAGCACGUGAGAAGGAAGCAGUGAGACAACCUGAGAAAAGAGGACCUGGCAAAAGAGAUUUGCUACUAAGGUGGCAAAAACAAAAAUAAACCUUUGCACUGCUUCACACACAAGAUUUUUUUUAAUGUAAAAGCCAAAAUUCAUCUAAAAGUAAGAUUGCAAACUAGAGGAAAAAUUGUUUUUUUUAAAUAGCAAGAAGAUUCAUAUUACUUUG
rnacentral:lncRNA from 1 species